UUGAACGCUGGCGGCAGGCCUAACACAUGCAAGUCGAGCGGUAGCACAGAGAGCUUGCUCUCGGGUGACGAGCGGCGGACGGGUGAGUAAUGUCUGGGAAACUGCCUGAUGGAGGGGGAUAACUACUGGAAACGGUAGCUAAUACCGCAUAACGUCGCAAGACCAAAGUGGGGGACCUUCGGGCCUCAUGCCAUCAGAUGUGCCCAGAUGGGAUUAGCUAGUAGGUGGGGUAACGGCUCACCUAGGCGACGAUCCCUAGCUGGUCUGAGAGGAUGACCAGCCACACUGGAACUGAGACACGGUCUAGACUCCUACGGGAGGCAGCAGUGGGGAAUAUUGCACAAUGGGCGCAAGCCUGAUGCAGCCAUGCCGCGUGUGUGAAGAAGGCCUUCGGGUUGUAAAGCACUUUCAGCGGGGAGGAAGGCGAUAAGGUUAAUAACCUUGUCGAUUGACGUUACCCGCAGAAGAAGCACCGGCUAACUCCGUGCCAGCAGCCGCGGUAAUACGGAGGGUGCAAGCGUUAAUCGGAAUUACUGGGCGUAAAGCGCACGCAGGCGGUCUGUCAAGUCGGAUGUGAAAUCCCCGGGCUCAACCUGGGAACUGCAUUCGAAACUGGCAGGCUAGAGUCUUGUAGAGGGGGGUAGAAUUCCAGGUGUAGCGGUGAAAUGCGUAGAGAUCUGGAGGAAUACCGGUGGCGAAGGCGGCCCCCUGGACAAAGACUGACGCUCAGGUGCGAAAGCGUGGGGAGCAAACAGGAUUAGAUACCCUGGUAGUCCACGCCGUAAACGAUGUCGAUUUGGAGGUUGUGCCCUUGAGGCGUGGCUUCCGGAGCUAACGCGUUAAAUCGACCGCCUGGGGAGUACGGCCGCAAGGUUAAAACUCAAAUGAAUUGACGGGGGCCCGCACAAGCGGUGGAGCAUGUGGUUUAAUUCGAUGCAACGCGAAGAACCUUACCUGGUCUUGACAUCCACAGAACUUUCCAGAGAUGGAUUGGUGCCUUCGGGAACUGUGAGACAGGUGCUGCAUGGCUGUCGUCAGCUCGUGUUGUGAAAUGUUGGGUUAAGUCCCGCAACGAGCGCAACCCUUAUCCUUUGUUGCCAGCGGUUCGGCCGGGAACUCAAAGGAGACUGCCAGUGAUAAACUGGAGGAAGGUGGGGAUGACGUCAAGUCAUCAUGGCCCUUACGACCAGGGCUACACACGUGCUACAAUGGCAUAUACAAAGAGAAGCGACCUCGCGAGAGCAAGCGGACCUCAUAAAGUAUGUCGUAGUCCGGAUUGGAGUCUGCAACUCGACUCCAUGAAGUCGGAAUCGCUAGUAAUCGUAGAUCAGAAUGCUACGGUGAAUACGUUCCCGGGCCUUGUACACACCGCCCGUCACACCAUGGGAGUGGGUUGCAAAAGAAGUAGGUAGCUUAACCUUCGGGAGGGCGCUUACCACUUUGUGAUUCAUGACUGGGGUG
rnacentral:rRNA from 1 species